rnacentral:lncRNA from 1 species
GUGUGGUUGUGGUAGUAGUGUAUAGUUUGUUGUGGUAGUAGUGUAUAGUCUGGUGUGGGUGUGGUAGUAGUGUAUAGUCUGGUUCUGGUGUGGUAGUGGUGUAUAGUCUGGUGUGGUAGUGGUGUAUAGUCUGGUGUGGUAGUAGUGUAUAGCCUGGUGUGGUUGUGGUAGUAGUGUAUAGCCUGGUGUGGUUGUGGUAGUAGUGUAUAGCCUGGUGUGGUUGUGGUAGUAGUGUAUAGUCUGGUGUGGUAGUAGUGUAUAUUUUGUUGUGGUAGUAGUGUAUAGUCUGGUGUGGUUGUGGUAGUAGUGUAUAGUUUGUUGUGGUAGUAGUGUAUAGCCUGGUGUGGUUGUGGUAGUAGUGUGUAGUCUGGUGUGGUUGUGGUAGUAGUGUGUAGUCUGGUGUGGGUGUGGUAGUAGUGUAUAGUCUGGUGUGGUUGUGGUAGUAGUGUAUAGUUUGUUGUGGUAGUAGUGUAUAGUCUGGUGUGGGUGUGGUAGUAGUGUGUAGUCUGGUGUGGGUGUGGUAGUAGUGUGUAGUCUGGUGUGGGUGUGGUAGUAGUGUAUAGUCUGGUGUGGUUGUGGUAGUAGUGUAUUGUCUGGUGUGGUUGUGGUAGUAGUGUAUAGUCUGGUGUGGUUGUGGUAGUAGUGUAUAGUCUGGUGUGGUUGUUGUACUAGUGUAUAGUCUGGUGUGGUUGUGGUACUAGUGUAUAGUCUGGUGUGGUUGUGAUAGUGGUGUGUAGUCUGGUGUGGUUGUGGUAGUGGUGUAUAGUCUGGUGUGGUUGUGGUGUAUAGUCUGGUGUGGUUGUGGUGUAUAGUCUGGUGUGGUAGUAGUGUAUAGUUUGUUGUGGUAGUAGUGUAUAGUCUGGUGUGGUUGUGGUAGUAGUGUAUAGUUUGUUGUGGUUGUGGUAGUAGUGUAUAGUUUGUUGUGGUAGUAGUGUAUAGUCUGGUGUGGUUGUGGUAGUAGUGUGUAGUCUGGUGUGGGUGUGGUAGUAGUGUGUAGUCUGGUGUGGGUGUGUUAGUAGUUUAUAGGCUGGUGUGGUUGUGGUAGUAGUGUAUAGGCUGGUGUGGUUGUGGUAGUAGUGUAUAGUCUGGUGUGGUUGUGGUAGUAGUGUAUAGUCUGGUGUGGUUGUGGUACUAGUGUAUAGUCUGGUGUGGUUGUGGUAGUGGUGUAUAGUCUGGUGUGGUAGUGGUGUAUAGUCUGGUGUGGUUGUGGUGUAUAGUCUGGUGUGGUUGUGGUGUAUAGUCUGGUGUGGUUGUGGUAGUAGUGUAUAGUCUGUUGUGGUAGUAGUGUAUAGUCUGGUGUGGUUGUGGUAGUAGUGUAUAGUCUGGUGUGGUAGUAGUGUAUAGCCUGGUGUGGUUGUGGUAGUAGUGUAUUGUCUGGUGUGGUUGUGGUAGUAGUGUGUAGUCUGGUGUGGUUGUGGUAGUAGUGUGUAGUCUGGUGUGGUAGUAGUGUAUAGUCUGGUGUGGUUGUGGUAGUAGUGUAUUUUCUGGUGUGGUUGUGGUAGUAGUGUAUUUUCUGGUGUGGUUGUGGUAGUAGUGUGUAUAGUCUGGUUCUGGUGUGGUAGUAGUGUAUAGUCUGGUGUGGUAGUAGUGUAUAGUCUGGUGUGGUAGUAGUGUAUAGCCUGGUGUGGUUGUGGUAGUAGUGUAUAGUCUGGUGUGGUCGUGGUAGUAGUGUAUAGUCUGGUGUGGUUGUGGUAGUAGUGUAUAGUGUUGUUGUGGUAGUAGUGUAUAGUCUGGUGUGGUCGUGGUAGUAGUGUAUAGCCUGGUGUGGUUGUGGUAGUAGUGUAUAGCCUGUUGUGGUUGUGGUAGUAGUGUAUAGCCUGGUGUGGUUGUGGUAGUAGUGUAUAGUCUGGUGUGGGUGUGGUAGUAGUGUAUAGUUUGUGGUAGUAGUGUAUAGUUUGUGGUAGUAGUGUAUAGUUUGUUGUGGUAGUAGUGUAUAGUCUGGUGUGGGUGUGGUAGUAGUGUAUAGUCUGGUGUGGGUGUGGUAGUUGUGUGUAGCCUGGUGUGUUUGUGGUAGUAGUGUAUAGUCUGGUGUGGUUGUGGUAGUAGUGUAUAGUCUGGUGUGGUAGUAGUGUAUAACCUGGUGUGGUUGUGGUAGUAGUGUAUAGUCUGGUGUGGUUGUGGUAGUAGUGUAUAGUCUGGUGUGGGUGUGGUAGUAGUGUAUAGUCUGG